CAAGAGCGUAUAUUAAAGUUGCUGCGGUUAAAAAGCUCGUAGUUGGAUUUCAGUCUAGGAAGGUUAACUCGCCGAAAGGUUGUACGUUGAUUUUCCUCAGACUUCGUCAGAAGCUCGUGCUGCACUUAACUGUGUGGUACGAUGUUCUGACCUUUUACCUUGAGGAAAGUAGAGUGUUUCAGGCAGGCUACCCAGCUUGAAUACAUUAGCAUGGAAUAAUGAAAUGGAUCUCGGUUCGAUUUCGUUGGUUCUAGAGCUGAGGUGAUGAUCAAUAGGAACAGGCGAAGGUAUUCGUACUUGAGAGUGAGGAGUGAAAUCAGAUGAUCUCUUAAAGACGAUCCGAGGCGAAAGCAUUUGUCAAGGAUGUUUUCAUUGA
rnacentral:rRNA from 1 species